rnacentral:rRNA from 1 species
UACGUAGGGGGCAAGCGUUGUCCGGAAUUAUUGGGCGUAAAGCGCGCGCAGGCGGUUAUUUAAGUCUGGUGUUUAAACCUUGGGCUCAACCUGAGGUCGCACUGGAAACUGGGUGACUUGAGUUCAGAAGAGGAAAGUGGAAUUCCACGUGUAGCGGUGAAAUGCGUAGAGAUCAGGAGGAAUACCCGUGGCGAAGGCGGCCUUCUGGGUCCGCCCUGACGCUGAGGCGCGAAAGCGUGGGGAGCGAACGGG